CCCGCAAAUGUUCAUCUCCCAAGUCCCAUUCCUAUUCGCAAUAAGUCAUUUGUCGCCACCCCUCCUCCGGGUCGCUCUGCUUACGCCCCUCGAGUAAAUUUUGACCUGAUAUGUCUAAUAAAAGCUGUUACCCACUGCUGCUGGACUGGUCUGUCGCCUAGUCACCAACUCCACUCAACUUUGGAAGAAACGUCACCGGGACUGAUUGACAACAAACGUUGCAGAGACAAAGACAGCAAAAAGCAUUCGGAGGGAGGCAGUUCUUGAGAAGACCAAUCACUUCGGAGGAUGGGAGGCGCGACAAUA